rnacentral:rRNA from 1 species
CCGUAGGUGAACUGCGGAAGGAUCAUUAAUGAAUUUUGGAUGGAGACGGUCAAAGCGAAGACUCACGUCGUUCGCUUUCCGUCGAUCUCGCUCUCACACACUUGUGCACCUAUUGUAGGUCCUCGAAAGAGGAUCUAUGUUUCUAUAUAAUACACCCGUCGUAUGUCUACAGAAUGUCAGAAAGCUUUACCGAACGGAGGGUGAUUCCUCCUAAUAGAGGGCUCGAAUUUUAUACAACUUUCAGCAAUGGAUCUCUUGGCUCUCGCAUCGAUGAAGAACGCAGCGAAUUGCGAUAAGUAAUGUGAAUUGCAGAUUUUCAGUGAAUCAUCGAAUCUUUGAACGCACCUUGCGCUCCUUGGUAUUCCGAGGAGCAUGCCUGUUUGAGUGUCAGUGAAUUCAUCAACCAUGUCGUCGACAUAUGCGACAUGGCUUGGACUUGGGAGCUGCCGGUCAGUCACGAUCGGCUCUCCUGAAAUACAUUAGUGGAGGGAUGGAGACUAGCGUUUCUUUGGCCUUGGACGUGUUAAACCCUCGCCCUGGCUGGAGUGUCGCUACGCUCUCGAACCGGUCUGCUUCGAACACUAUAUAUCGAGAUCAGUUACUACCAGCACGGACGAACGCGGCUCGAACUUCAAACGUCGAGCUUAGCUAUUAGUCUGGAUGGGAACACGGUCUCAAUUCAUUGGAAACU